UACGUAGGGUGCAAGCGUUGUCCGGAAUUAUUGGGCGUAAAGGGCUCGUAGGCGGUCCGUCACGUCGGGAGUGAAAACUUGGGGCUUAACCCCAAGCCUGCUUCCGAUACGGGCGGACUAGAGGUAGGCAGGGGAGAACGGAAUUCCUGGUGUAGCGGUGAAAUGCGCAGAUAUCAGGAGGAACACCGGUGGCGAAGGCGGUUCUCUGGGCAUCUCCUGACGCUGAGGCGCGAAAGCGUGGGGAGCGAACAGG
rnacentral:rRNA from 1 species